GAAAUUAGUUCUCAUUCUUGUUUAUCACCUAAUUAGAAUAGUUAGGGCAAUUAGAAAACGAAGUCCAUGCUCAAAUAUGUUUCUGUGUGUGUAUAUUGAAAUUCUUUAAAUCAGUUUGCUUCUCCUCAGCACUUCUUUCUGCUAACAACUUUUCUCAUAUGCAGAGAUGUCAUUUCUAGCAUAUCGUCAGACAGUACCCUGCAAAAGUCAUGCAGGGCUUUCUCCUCCGGAGAUGGGGAUCUGGUUGUUGCUGCUGUCCCUUUUAUGGGAGAAUCAAUUAGUGAUGGCACUUUGGCAACAUUCUUGAAAAAACCUGGUGAUUCGGUAGCAGCUGAUGAACCAAUUGCUCAAAUAGAAACUGAUAAG